AGAAAACGAAAAGAAUAAGUUGUUUAUAAAUAACGGCGUAGUUGUUACCGUUAAUACUGUUAGAAUACCCGGUGGUUUAAACACAGUAGCACACGGUAUUGCACCAAUUAUUGAUUCUUACGUAAGAAGGCAUUACUCAAUAAUUGUUACAGUAAUUACUGUUCAAUAUUAUAUUUUAUUGAUUCAAUAAUUGCUACGUUGAUAUUAUUGUUGUUUUA
rnacentral:lncRNA from 1 species